GUAGUAUUCCCUCCGUCCCAAAAUUCUUGUCUUACAUUUGUUUAGAUACGGAUGUAUCUAACACUAAAAUAUAACUAGAUACAUCCGUAUUUAGAAAAAUUUAAGACAAGAAUUUUGGGACGGAGGGAGUACAAA
rnacentral:pre_miRNA from 1 species